rnacentral:rRNA from 1 species
GGUGAAUGCUAGCGGUGCGCCUAACACAUGCAAGUCGAGCGAGAAUCUUUUGUUGCUUGCAACAAAAGAGGACAGCGGCAAACGGGUGAGUAACACGUUGGAAUCUGCCCCCAAGUCAGGGAUAGUCCACUGAAAAGUGGUUUAAUACCGGAUGUGCUCUUCGGAGUAAAGAUUUAUCGCUUGGGGAGGAGCCUGCGUUCUAUCAGCUAGUUGGUAGUGUAAAAGACUACCAAGGCUAUGACGGAUAACUGGUCUGAGAGGAUGAUCAGUCACAAUGGAACUGAGACACGGUCCAUACUCCUACGGGAGGCAGCAGUGAGGAAUCUUCCACAAUGGACGAAAGUCUGAUGGAGCGACACCGCGUGAAGGAUGAAGGUCUAACGAUUGUAAACUUCUUUUCUGAGGGAGCAUAAUGAGAGUACCUCAGGAAUAAGGGACGGCUAAUCACGU